AUACGGAGGAUGCGAGCGUUAUCCGGAUUUAUUGGGUUUAAAGGGUGCGCAGGCGGCCAUUUAAGUCAGCGGUUAAAUCGUGGGGCUCAACCCCAUUCUGCCGUUGAUACUGGGUGGCUUGAUUGCGGUCGAGGUUGGCGGAAUUCGUUGUGUAGCGGUGAAAUGCAUAGAUAUGACGAAGAACAUCGAUUGCGUAGGCAGCUGACCAGACCGCAAAUGACGCUCAUGCACGAAAGUGCGGGGAUCGAACAGGAUUAGAUACCCUGGUAGUCCGCACAGUAAACGAUGAAUACUUGUUUUCGGCGAUAUAAUGUCGGAGGCAAAGCGAAAGCGAUAAGUAUUCCACCUGGGGAGUACGCCGGCAACGGUGAAACUCAAAGGAAUUGACGGGG
rnacentral:rRNA from 1 species